UGGGGAAUAUUGGGCAAUGGGCGAAAGCCUGACCCAGCAACGCCGCGUGAGGGAAGAAGGUUCUCGGAUUGUAAACCUCUGUCCCAAGAGAAGAGGGAAAGACGGUAUCUUGGGAGGAAGCCCCGGCUAACUACGUGCCAGCAGCCGCGGUAAUACGUAGGGGGCGAGCGUUGUCCGGAAUGAUUGGGCGUAAAGGGCGCGUAGGCGGCUAUUUAAGUCUGGAGUGAAAGUCCUGCUUUCAAGGUGGGAAUUGCUUUGGAAACUGGAUGGCUUGAGUGCAGGAGAGGUUAUCGGAAUUCCCGGUGUAGCGGUGAAAUGCGUAGAGAUCGGGAGGAACACCAGUGGCGAAGGCGGGUAACUGGACUGCAACUGACGCUGAGGCGCGAAAGUGUGGGGAGCAAACA
rnacentral:rRNA from 1 species